ensembl:lncRNA
UGUAGAUGGAGGGUGAGGUGAGUCUGGUCGCCGGCCGCAGUCAGAGAGAAAAGAGAAGAUCCUACAAAGAUCUGCUGAGAGAAGAAGAGAUCAUCGACGCAGAGGUGCGCAAGACCUCCAAGAAAUGGCUCAAGGACGCUGAUGCCCUGUACACUGGCGGCGAGCUCCAGAAGAAGAAGCACUAUGAGGAUCAUUUCUACAGAGAAUGUGUUUGGAAGUCAAACAGAGAGGGAGGGUCACACCAGAAUAUACUGAGCAGAGCUCACUGAUCAUCUGAGAGCGUCAGAACACACAGCACUUCACUGAUCUCGUUUCAGGAUUAUGUAGCGUUUACUGUAUUUCUAAGUGAAGUAUGAGAAGCGUCACCUCAGGAGUCACGGUACAUCUGUCUUGAAGCUACUCUAUAGUGAAGAGACGUGAGAAGAGAACUGUGUGUGUGUUAUUAUCUCUCUAGAUCAUCACAGCAGCUCCGGAUCUCAUCACAAGAAGAAGAAGCGCUCGCUCCUGACGCUCCCGGACCCGUCCUCCUCGCCUCAGACAGCCGUGACGGCGAUGGGUCUCCUGCAGGCCAUCACCUCCCCCACCGCCCCGUCCCCCUCGAAGGAGCGCAGGAAGGACUCCAGAGACGCCUCCUCCUCCAGGAAGCAGCCGCAGGUGGUGCCGGUGGUGGGUGAGGAGGUGGAGCUGGAAGGUCAUUACGGCGGCUGUCAUGAUGUGGCCGACAGCAGCGGCUCGUCCUCCGGUGAUGACAGUGAAGGUGGGAAACUCACGAUCCACGAAUCCUCGUCUCACAGCAGCAGGAAGAAGAAGAAGAGCAAGAAGAGCAAGAAGAAGAAGGAGCGCGACCGUUCGCGAGAGAAGAAACACAGUAAAGCAGCCAAGAGACCCGUGGAAGGUACGAAUGCAGCGCUUCUGUGCGUCUGAACGUCCUGUGUGGCUCUCGCGUGACCUCUGACCUCUCCGUCCUCAGCCAACGGCAGCACAGAAUGGAGCGCUUGCACUACAGUUCAUCACAGCCGCGAGGAGAAGAAGAGGAAGAGAGAAGACGGAGGCAAGCGCAAGAGCAAAGACAAGGUGAGGAGAAGCACUGAGACACAUCCAAAACACCGGCAACGUCUCUCUCACUCUGUCUGUGUGUGCCUGUGUGUGUGUGUGUGUGUGUGUGU